rnacentral:rRNA from 1 species
ACGGAGGGAGCUAGCGUUGUUCGGAAUUACUGGGCGUAAAGCGCACGUAGGCGGCUUUGUAAGUCAGAGGUGAAAGCCUGGAGCUCAACUCCAGAACUGCCUUUGAGACUGCAUCGCUUGAAUCCAGGAGAGGUGAGUGGAAUUCCGAGUGUAGAGGUGAAAUUCGUAGAUAUUCGGAAGAACACCAGUGGCGAAGGCGGCUCACUGGACUGGUAUUGACGCUGAGGUGCGAAAGCGUGGGGAGCAAACAG